rnacentral:lncRNA from 1 species
CCAGGCUGGUCUUGAACUCCUGAUCUCAAGUGAUCCGCCUGCUUUGGCCUCCCAAAGUGCUGGGAUUACAGACGUGAGCCACUGCGCCCAGGCUGACCUUAGGUUUCUACCAUUCUGCUUUGAUGGGAUCUGGGAGAAAGAUGAUGACUGUGAAUAUAAGGAAGAUUAGGAAGCAGUAAACAGAGAAUGAAAUCGGCUGGGCGUGGUGGCUCAUGCCUGUAAUCCCAGCACUUUGGGAGGCCAAGGCAGGCGGAUCACCUGAGGUCAGGAGUUCGAGACCAGCCUGGCCAACAUGGUGAAACCCCGUCUCUACUAAAAAUACAAAAGUU